rnacentral:lncRNA from 1 species
UGAAGUUUGUUAAAAAUGUUUUUUAGAUAAUUUAAGAUUUAUUAAAAGUAGGAAAAGAUAACUAAAAUCAAACAAAAUUCAAAAUAUAAAGUCAAAAAGGGUGUCUGACCAGAAGAAGAUACACUACAAUAAUGGUAAUGUCUUAAACAAUAAUGUGAUCUUUUGUUUCUAUUCCAAUAUCACUUGUAAUAUAAUACAUUAAUCCUCAAGUUGGGAAAGGAAAUUAUGUGUGAGUGGUGCAUUGCAUUAUGUACUGUCUUGUGGCUGCUAAGAGGAGAUAGUUCCUGGCAUCUUCCAUUGGACUUCAUUACUUCAUUACUUCAUCAAAAUCAUAAAGCCACUGCCCUAUAAAUAUAAGCAUAUGAGAAGGGGUUUUUGUAAAUUGUAAUUCAUAAGAAGUUUUUACAAGUAAUAUAAUCAUAAUGUCAAAAGCAGGGGCAAAGAAUGAAGAGGCAACAGUAGUAUCUAUAGAUACUGCAAGUGAAAAUAAAAAGGAUAGAGAAGAGAAGAACAGUGGUUGGAUGAAACCAGGAGAUGUGGAUUUUGUAAUGGUAAGUCCUUCAAUUUCUCUGCUCUUUUUGUUUCUCCCUCUGGCCUCUAUCCGUUAUUAGUGGUUGGAUGGAGCUUUCAUUACUGUUUCAUUUUCUUUUGCUCACCUUAUUAUUUGUCAAUUUCACGACAGGUUGUCGUAACAUUCAUCGCAGCCGUGGCAUUCCAAGUAGGAAUAAACCCACCGGGCAGUGUAUGGCAGGAGGACAAGAAUGGGUUUACUGCAGGUAAAUCAAUAAUGGCAUCAAAAUCACCUUCGGAAUACAAGAAAUUCAUGGCGGGAGUGACACUAUGUCUUGGAUUUUCAUUGAUCCAGUUAUGUGUGAUGUUAUUCAGAUGGUAUCUCAAAAGUUAUUCAGUUAGGAGAAUGAUUAUGUACAUACUGAUGCUGUGUACAAUAGCGCCAAUGAUUGUUUCGUUUUGGGCCUCUGUUAAAGCUUUGACACCUGAUGAAAAACUAAUGUCUGAGAUCACUGCUACCAUAUGGUCUAUUUUGGGAGUCUAUCUUAUAAGUCUCCCAAUUAUUCUUCUAU